rnacentral:lncRNA from 1 species
UCCUGCUUACAAUGCUUUCUAAUGUGAUAUUGCAGUAUGGAGACCUGGGGAUCUCCUUGUAGCCCCUCUCUCCCUCACCCCAGCCUUCAUCCAGAAUCCCGAAAUGCAUCUAAUCCCCAAAUUGAUCUCUGAGGUCAACGCAAUUAUUUUGGUUUCUUAUCCCUUGAUUGAAAAAAAAAAAAGACUGUGAAAAAAGCCACAUAACCAAAGGCUGUCUUAAGAGGCAGAGCAAAAUUAUGUGGUGUUGAGGGGUUUAAAGUCUGUGAUUUUGUGAUCUGUUAGAUCUAAUUAUAGGAAGUACAGAGGAAGGAGUGGGAGAUUGCAUGUUUAUCUGUGAUACAAUGAGAGAAUAUAAAACUCUGAAUCAGUAUUGACUAUCCAAGCCUAAUAGCAGUACUAUGGCAAGGGUUAUUUAUAUUUUUGAGAAUAUGAAGAAAAGUACUUUUUGAAAGUUUUAUAUUUUGUUUCUGUUUUUUUUUUUUUUUUUUUUUUUUAAUAGAUAUAUACAUACGCUUGAAUUUGAGUAUUUAUUUCUAUAUUAAAAAAAUAUAUGGUUUGUUUGUUUGCUUAUUUAUUUAUUUAAAGCAUCAAGUAAGUUUGGUAUGUAUAGUAUAACUAUGUAAUUUUCUACCUGAUCCCCAUGUUAUAAGCUUAGGUAUUUGUCUAGUGUAAAGAGAGGAAAGAAAAUAUCCUUCCCUAUCUUUAUAUGCUAGGAGCUUCUACAUUUUCUUUCCUGCUUCUCAGAUUGUGUGAACACUGACAUCUCUGGCAAAGUCCUGGACUGUCAGUUGCUGGAGACAUGUGAUGCUCAGUGGAUCUGUCUCCAUGGCUGUGGUAUCAGUUCUUCAGAGCUCCUAAUAGCCAGUCAGGGUAAAUCAAGAAACCCGUGAUUAUUGUCUGUUCCUUUGAAAUGCCUCUGCUGCUGCUGCUGCUGCUGCAGGAAGAAAGACGGGGAGGCAUGCAGUCCUCGCACACUGGCAUUGCUGUUGUCUGUUUUAAUGAGCCAUGGCAACCAAGAAGAGAGGAUCCUGGGGCAUCUCAGCUCUCAGGGUGCCAUCUGCUGCGGAUCAUCUGAAAAAAGCCCCCAUCUCCCUGUGUUUGGUGGGAAGGCGGUAGGAGGAGGAGACCGGGACUCUGGGCUUAGCUGUGUCCCUAUCCGGACUUUGAUCUGGCAGCAAAUACACAGUAAUGACCAUAUGCAGACCAUCACUAUUAUUUUUAGUGUACAUCUUUCCUUUAACAAGGAGUGCUACUGCGUUUGUGGAUGAAAGCCCAGCUACCCGUGUUGUGUCUUUUC